GGUACAGGACAUAAAUAUUGGUAUUUUAUUAUGCAUGGUUCGUAUUUAAAUUCAUGACAACUUUUUGUGGCGACUUGAGAUUGGCUGGUAAUCUGAGGGUCUCAAAAAGACCUUCACAUUCACCUUGAAGAAGUUUUAAAUCCACAUAUACAGGGUGUUAGUGACAUCGUAACGAAAACUUUUAGGGAUGAUUCAGGCCAUGAUUCUGAGUUGAUAUCGAGUGGAAUUUUCCGUCGCAAAAGUAUGGAACGGAAAAUAAUAUAAAAAAGGUCUAAAAUUUUCAUGACUUCUCCGACAGGAAAUUCCACUUGAUAUCGUCUCAGAAUCAUGGUCUGAAUCAUCCCCUUCAGUAUUCGUUACAGUGUCACAUACACCCAUACCUACUUGUAUGGCUACUGUAUGUACUUGUAUGGGGUGUAAGUGACAUCGUAACGAAUACUGAGAGGGAUGAUUCAGCUGAUUAUUCUGAGUUAAUAUCAAGUGGAAUUUUCCAUCGCAAAAGUAUAGAAUUGAAAAUAAUUUAAAAAAACUAAAAAAAUAACAUGAAUUUUGCGACGGAAAAUUCCACUUGAUAUUAACUCAGAAUCAUGGUCUGAAUCAUCCCUCUGAGUAUUCGUUAGGAUGUCACUUAACACCCUGUAUAUUGCGCACUAAUCUCAGCUGAGACUACCCUCAAGAUCAUGCUCAAGUCCAUGUUUUAUAUGAGAACUGUCAAAUUGACAUGAUCUUGAGAGCAGUCUCGAAUCUGAGAUUAGUUUAUUAAUACCACUCUUAAAGACAUUGCGUGCUUACUUUUACAGGCGCAAUAUAUAUGUGUAUUUAAAAACUUCUUCAAUUCGUGUUAGUACUACUUUUGAUUCCUGAUUCUUAUCCGAUCCGAGUCCGUCAAAUGAAGGAUUGACGGAUCCGAAGUGGCCAUAGUACUUGUGCUUGUGGUAGCUUGCGUACUAUACGACAUCCGUCACUCUGAACAGACAUGCGAGCGUGCACCCGCGCGUGGUCUAACGCACAGCCUCAGAGUUUCAAAUAGAAGGAACCCAUAUGGACAUUCUGGGAUAUGAGCACUCCGGGACUUGGACUUUUUUGGAAUGUGGGCGUUUUGAGCCCUCUGAAUAUUUUUGUGAUUUGGACAUGAAGAAAACGUAGUAUGUGUAUGUGAAGAGCUUACAUGGAACAGAUUAAAGAAAAGGUUAACGUCGUGUCUUAUAGGGAAUUCAAGGAAUUGGCCUUUGAUAGACUGGAAUGGAAAACGCUACACCGACAAGAGCGUGGCUCUUAAAUUGAUGAUGAUGAUGUGUAUGUAUGUAUGUACUGUAGUAGUAGUAUAUUAUGAAUAUUUUCUUUGAUUAUGAACCAAUUUAAUGGUCCACUCAACAAUAGAAACGCCAAGACGCCUCUAAAAUCUAAAGAGCGUUUCUGCAAUUGACUUAAUAUAUAGUUAUAGUAUGUACUAUAUUUUUUACUAGCAAUAAGGUUUUUUAUGGACCGCGCUCUAACGCAAGUCCAACUAUCAAAAAUUGCACGCACGACUGACCCCUACUUGGGAUAGUCACAGAGCGCCGUCGUCCAACCGAGGUGCAAUGGCUGGCGUCGCCCUGGGGCAACCGCCUUCCUGAUCACGGUACACCCUACGCAAGGUCUCACGCAUAGUAAAAAUAUUUGGCUCGCGUCGCGGGUUAUGCUGAGUGAGGACCUUUUAUGAAGGACAGCCCCCACUAUCAUUGAUGUUGAUUUCCACAUUUGUUAUUUUUUAUAUUCUUUUAUAUUCAUCUGUAUCGGGUUUUGUUAGUCUAUUUUAUAUUGUUACUGUGGCGAUCUGGAAUAAAAAAUGCAUCUUUC